AGGGGGACUGGUGUGUCAGCGCUGGCUCGAGUGCGUGCACACCCAGUAGGAUCGUGACAGCACUCGGGCUCAGCCUCAACUUUGCUCCAAAAUCGGAGUGGGCACCGGGAGCCGGGAGAGGCCAGGCAGUAGGAGCAGGCACUUCAGAGCCUGCAGGGGAAGGGGGCUUCCCGGGCCCCCUAGCGCAGGCAUGUCCAGGUCUGUAGCUGAGACUAGUUGGCUGCAGCUGGGAGGGCUGGCCUCCCGACCCUCCAAUUCAGAAAAGGGCGGGGAUCCCUCCUGUUCCUGGCUCCAGGUGGCUCUGUGGAGCCCCUGCGCGCCUCCCCCACUGCAACCUGCGUCAUGGCAGCAGCUGCUCUAGAUAGGCCACAGCUGCCAUCAAAAGCAUAGCGCUUUCUCUGGCUGGUAGCGAAGGAAAAAGAGAUUAAAAGCACGAGAAAGACUCAACCCACUGACCCACCGUUGCUGGCUUGAUGGUAAAGAGGACAAUGUGGGGAAAGCAUUCGAAGAAAAUCACUUCUGCCAACAAUCAGUGAGUUUGGAGGUGGACCCCGAGACUUAGCUGACAGCCCCAGCAGAUAUAAUACGCUGAUUCAAGUUUAAUGAGACCCUGAGAAGAGAAUCCAGUCAAGGUGCUUUAGACUUCAGACUUUCAGAAGUUCAGACCUUCAGAACUGUGAGAUUAUAAACAGGUGCUGCAAAGGGAAAUUAUGUCUAGCAUAAGACACAAUCUCUGACAUUGAAGAACUUACAAUUGAAUUGAGGAAAUAACAUAUCUCCGGACAACUUAACAAGAAGAAGAGCUUUGAAUAAGUAAGGAUAGGUUCCUUUGCAUCCAGUGGAAAGGAGGAAUGAGUUUGCAUGAACGAAU
rnacentral:lncRNA from 1 species